AUGAACGCUAGCUACAGGCUUAACACAUGCAAGUCGAGGGGCAGCACAGUGUAGCAAUACACGGGUGGCGACCGGCGCACGGGUGCGUAACGCGUAUCCAACCUUCCCGUUACUCUUGGAUAGCCUUCCGAAAGGGAGAUUAAUACAAGAUGGUAUUCAAAUUCCGCAUGUUAUUUGAAUUAAAGAUUUAUCGGUAACGGAUGGGGAUGCGUGACAUUAGCUAGAUGGAGAGGUAACGGCUCCCCAUGGCGACGAUGUCUAGGGGUUCUGAGAGGAAGGUCCCCCACACUGGAACUGAGACACGGUCCAGACUCCUACGGGAGGCAGCAGUGAGGAAUAUUGGACAAUGGAUGGAAAUCUGAUCCAGCCAUGCCGCGUGCAGGACUACAGUCCUAUGGAUUUUAAACUGCUUUUGUAUGGGAGCAAUAAGUGCUACGAGUAGCGCGAUGAGAGUACCAUACGAAUAAGCAUCGGCUAACUCCGUG
rnacentral:rRNA from 1 species